GACAGAGGGGGCAAGCGUUGCUCGGAAUUACUGGGCGUAAAGGGCGCGUAGGCGGGAUGGCAAGUCGGUCGUGAAAGCCUUCGGCUCAACCGAAGAACGUCGGCCGAUACUGCCGUUCUUGAGGGAUGCAGAGGAGACUGGAAUUCCCGGUGUAGCGGUGAAAUGUGUAGAGAUCGGGAGGAACACCGGUGGCGAAGGCGGGUCUCUGGGCAUCUCCUGACGCUGAGGCGCGAAAGCGUGGGGAGCAAACGGGG
rnacentral:rRNA from 1 species